CUCCUACUCCCUUUCCCUGCCAAGGAGUGGAGAGAUGUGGACAGGACAAGGAAGGAGUUCAGAUCUAUAAAGCUCAGAAAGAAGACAAGGAUUCUGGGGAGGAGAUUCUUAUAAAAGCAAUGAUGAUUUUCCUAUCGCUUCUCCAUAACUAGUCAUCUUUCUUGGAGGGCGAGGGGGGAGUAUGUGCAUCUGGGGGAAGAGGAACUUCCAC